rnacentral:lncRNA from 1 species
CGCUCCUUCGGCACCAGCCUCGCGCCGUGCUGCCCAGCCGGCGCCGCUGCCACAAGAGCCACUUGCACUGGCGAGGACGCGUUCGACCUGCAGGUCUCAUGUAGGCUCUCGGGCAGCGGCUGCGGAAGGUGGUGGUGGUACGUCGAGGUCGGCGCCCAGGAAGGUGCGGGCGCGGGGGUCACGUCGGCGGGGAAGUUGAGCUUGGCGCGGCGGCCCCGGAACUCGAUGGCAGCGAUGUCGUAGGCACGUGCGGCGUCCUCGGCGGUGUCGAAGGUGCCGAGCCACUUGCGCACGGCGCGAUGUGGGUCACGGAUCUCCGCCGCCCACUUGCCCCACGGCCGCCGGCGCACGCCGCGGUACUUACUCACCCUCCCCCUCUGCCGCCGCCGCAGCUUGCCCACACCCCCGGUGAUGGCGGCACGGCUGGCGGAAGCGGAGCACUCCCCUCCAUCGUCG